AGAGUAGGCGCAGGUGGUUACGGACGCAAGUCUGAGGAAAGUCCGGGCUCCCCAAAGACCAAACUUGCUGGGUAACGCCCAGUGCGGGCGACCGUGAGGAAAGUGCCACAGAAACAUACCGCCGAUGGAGUCUUAGCCUCACAGGUAAGGGUGCAAGGGUGCGGUAAGAGCGCACCAGCAGCGUCGAGAGGCGCUGGCUCGGUAAACCCCGGUUGGGAGCAAGGUCGAAGGAGCAACGGUUGGUCUUUUUCCGGCUCCGGGUAGAAACGGGCAAUCCGUUUCUGCGAAACCCGCUAGAGGUGUCUGGUAACAGGCAUCCCAGAUAGAUAACUGCCCUUUUAGCAGUUUUUCUGCUAGAAGAACAGAACCCGGCUUAUGUCCGACUCUUCCC
rnacentral:RNase_P_RNA from 1 species